AUUUUAUCAUUUUGGCCGAAAAUAACAAGAGAGAAAAGAGAGAAACUUUCAUGAACACUUAAUCUUCAAAGCUUGAUUUCUUCUGAACCAAAACUCAAAUCAAAACUCCGAUUUCACCAAAAUGAUCCUCUCUUCUUCCUCUACAUAACCAUGUGACUUAUCAAGGCUGGAAAUAAGGAAUCAUGCUUAACUUGACUUGAGGGUCAAGAAACGUUAAUUUCCAGCAAGUCUAAGGAAGAAAAAGUGCUUAAGGACCACCUGAAAGAGUAACCGGAUUUGAAGCAGC